GUAUUAUUUCUGUGAUUGAAUCAGCCAUCAGUAACACGAGCAUCUCAAUGAAUCCAUAAGGAUCAAUAGAUAUACAACACAUAUUAUCAUAGAUAGGCGGAGCUUAAUGUGGAAUAGAGCAGAAGAGCUCAAAGAGGCUUGAUACACCUACUUAUAGAUCAUUAAAUUCAAACCACAUACAACAAUGAUCUUCAUCUGCUCUGUUUUAACAUUUGUCUUGAGUUAUGGUGAAGCUAAUAAGAGUCCUAUCAGUUCAGAUAAAGCAUAUGUGUCUUUAAACGAAGGCAGUAAUGCUACUCUAUCCUGUACCUUCGAUGAAUCAGCUUACCGUCUCCACUGGUAUCGACAGAAGACCGGAUCGAAGUUAGAGUUUUUGCUGCUAACAUUCCAUAAUAACAAUCGUGUGGAUCUGGAGAUCUCCUCUGCUGCUGUAUCAGACUCUGCUCUUUAUUACUGUGCUCUGCAGACCACAGUGAUAGGAAAGCUUGCAACACAGUACAAAAACAAUGUUUUGAUGAUUAUUUUAAAAGAAUAA